UUCAGUUUCACAUAAAUAUGAUAGCCUGCCACCCCCAGAUUGGUAAUCAUCUUUCAUGGAAGACUAUAUUUUUCUGAUCCUUGAUGGUAACCCAGCGAUAGAUUCUUAAUUCUGUCCAAUGGGCUGUGAGAAAUGAUGAGCUUUGCUUCUGGGAUAAAGCUUUUACUUAGAGGAUUCUUUCUUCUUUGCUGCAAUGAACAAGGAAAGUGAAGAAUAAGAUGACUUCCUAUGUACUUUGGUGCAACCAACUUCACUGCUCAUAAGCAGCCA